AGUGCCCUACACAAUACAAGAUGCCACUGUAGGGACAGGGGUGACCUCUAGCAAGGUGAUCCCUCAGCAGGCCAGACAGGGCUUCUGAAGAGAAUUUCUCUAGCUUCUUGGUAUUUCCUGCCUGCUACUUUCAAACAAGGGUCCCGUUUUUAAUGUUUUCCCAGUAAUAUUUUAUGAAUGUUAUUGCAAAGCAGCGGGUUAAAUCAACACCACAGGCCCCAUGAUCGAUAUAUGUGAUCAGGACAUUACAUCCUGGUGUUGUUGCCCCAAGUCUUGAUGUGAAUCGGACCACAAGGACAAUUCAGACAACCUGAAAUGGUGAGACAUUCUACAAAAUAAACAUCAAUGUCAUGAAAGACAAAGACUCAAGAUUUUCUGCUUAAUGGAGACUAACAAGAUGCGAUAACUGAAUGCCAGGCAUGAGCUUGGAUUUUCUUUUGGCUCAAACAGUCUUAGGACAAUUGAAGAAAUCUGAAUGAGGUCUGUAGCUAAUAGAGUUGGGUCAAU
rnacentral:lncRNA from 1 species